rnacentral:lncRNA from 1 species
CUUUGCUGCUCUUUUUCAUCCUCUUCACCCUGUUGGGAGCCAUUGGUGCUUUGGGUGACAGAGGAAAAUUCGUUGACGAAACACCAGGGCCUAUCAUCGAACCGGGCAAAGGGUUUAAAUCCGCCAUUGGGCUGAAAGAAAAAGGUAACGUAUUUCUCUAAUCAUCUCAGUGAUCAUAUUUCUAUGGUUUGAUCACAGGCCCAGUGUUUGGAUUCACCAAAUCGAACGAGCUCUUUGUUGGUCGGCUCGCACAGUUGGGAAUUGCGUUCUCUAUAAUUGGUGAGCUUAUAACUGGCAAGGGAGCGUUGGCGCAGCUCAACAUAGAGACUGGAGUGCCUAUCACUGAGAUUGAACCCCUUUUGUUGUUCAACAUAAUCUUCUUCUUCAUUGCAGCCAUCAAUCCUGGGACGGGUAGGUUCAUUGCUGAUAAUGAAGAAGAGUGAAUGUACGGACUGAUUUUGUCACAAACAACCUUAAUUAAAU